CCUACGGGUGGCUGCAGUGGGGAAUAUUGGACAAUGGGGGGAACCCUGAUCCAGCCAUGCCGCGUGUGUGAAGAAGGCCCUCGGGUUGUAAAGCACUUUCAGUGAGGAAGAACGCCUGGUGGUUAAUACCCAUCAGGAAAGACAUCACUCACAGAAGAAGCACCGGCUAACUCCGUGCCAGCAGCCGCGGUAAUACGGAGGGUGCGAGCGUUAAUCGGAAUUACUGGGCGUAAAGCGCGCGUAGGUGGCUUGAUAAGCCGGUUGUGAAAGCCCCGGGCUCAACCUGGGAACGGCAUCCGGAACUGUCAAGCUAGAGUGCAGGAGAGGAAGGUAGAAUUCCCGGUGUAGCGGUGAAAUGCGUAGAGAUCGGGAGGAAUACCAGUGGCGAAGGCGGCCUACUGGACUGACACUGACACUGAGGUGCGAAAGCGUGGGUAGCAAACAGGAUUAGAUACCCCUGUAGUC
rnacentral:rRNA from 1 species